GAUGAACGCUGGCGGCGUGCCUAAUACAUGCAAGUCGAGCGAACAGACGAGGAGCUUGCUCCUCUGACGUUAGCGGCGGACGUGUGAGUAACACGUGGAUAACCUACCUAUCAGACUGGGAUAACUUCGGGAAACCGGAGCUAAUACCGGAUAAUAUAUUGAACCGCAUUGUUCAAUAGGGAAAGACGGUUUUGCUGUCACUUAUAGCUGGCUCCGCGCCGCAUUAGCUAGUUGGUAAGGUAACGGCUUACCAAGGCAACGAUGCGUAGCCGACCUGAGAGGGUGAUCGGCCACACUGGAACUGAGACACGGUCCAGACUCCUACGGGAGGCAGCAGUAGGGAAUCUGACGCAAUGGGCGAAAGCAUGACGGAGCAACGCCGCGUGAGUGAUGAAGGUCUUCGGAUCGUAAAACUCUGUUAUUAGGGAAGAACAAAUGUGUAAGUAACUAUGCACGUAUUGACGGUACCUAAUCAGAAAGCCACGGCUAACUACGUG
rnacentral:rRNA from 1 species